UACGUAGGGUGCAAGCGUUAAUCGGAUUUACUGGGCGUAAAGAGCGCGCAGGCGGUCGUUCAAGUCGAGUGUGAAAGCCCCCGGCUCAACUGGGGAGGGUCACUCGAUACUGAUCGACUGGAAGGCAGGAGAGGGAAGCGGAAUUCCCGGUGUAGUGGUGAAAUGCGUAGAUAUCGGGAGGACACCAGGUGGGGAGGCGGCUUCCUGGCCUGUUCUUGACGCUGAGGCGCGAAAGCUAGGGGAGCAAACGGG
rnacentral:rRNA from 1 species